rnacentral:rRNA from 1 species
UACGUAGGGGGCAAGCGUUGUCCGGAUUUAUUGGGCGUAAAGAGCGUGUAGGCGGCUUUGCAGGUCCGCUGUGAAAACUCGAGGCUCAACCUCGAGCUGUCGGUGGAAACCGUAAAGCUAGAGUCCGGAAGAGGGGAGUGGAAUUCCCGGUGUAGCGGUGAAAUGCGCAGAUAUCGGGAAGAACACCCGUGGCGAAGGCGGCUCUCUGGGACGGUACUGACGCUGAGACGCGAAAGCGUGGGGAGCGAACAGG